rnacentral:rRNA from 1 species
AGUGAACGCUGGCGGUAGGCCUAACACAUGCAAGUCGAACGGCAGCACAGUAAGAGCUUGCUCUUACGGGUGGCGAGUGGCGGACGGGUGAGGAAUACAUCGGAAUCUACUUUUUCGUGGGGGAUAACGUAGGGAAACUUACGCUAAUACCGCAUACGACCUACGGGUGAAAGCAGGGGAUCUUCGGACCUUGCGCGAUUGAAUGAGCCGAUGUCGGAUUAGCUAGUUGGCGGGGUAAAGGCCCACCAAGGCGACGAUCCGUAGCUGGUCUGAGAGGAUGAGCAGCCACACUGGAACUGAGACACGGUCCAGACUCCUACGGGAGGCAGCAGUGGGGAAUAUUGGACAAGGGGCGCAAGCCUGAUCCAGCCAUACCGCGUGGGUGAAGAAGGCCUUCGGGUUGUAAAGCCCUUUUGUUGGGAAAGAAAAGCAGCAGGUUAAUACCCCGCUGUUCUGACGGUACCCAAAGAAUAAGCACCGGCUAACUUCG